CCCUAAAUCUUACUUAAGUGGAAAACGAUGUGAAGUUACUUAAACAACCAGGAGGUUGGCUUAGAAGCAGCCAUCCUUUAAAGAAAGCGUAAUAGCUCACUGGUCUAGUGAUUUUGCGCGGAAAAUAUAACGGGGCUAAAGUAAGUACCGAAGCUGUAGACUUAGUUUACUAAGUGGUAGGAGAGCGUUCUAUUUGCGUCGAAGGUAUACCGGUAAGGAGUGCUGGAGCGAAUAGAAGUGAGCAUGCAGGCAUGAGUAGCGAUAAUUAAUGUGAGAAUCAUUAACGCCGUAAACCCAAGGUUUCCUACGCGAUGCUCGUCAUCGUAGGGUUAGUCGGGUCCUAAGUCGAGUCCGAAAGGGGUAGACGAUGGCAAAUUGGUUAAUAUUCCAAUACCAACAGUAGUGUGCGAUGGAAGGACGCUUAGGGCUAAGGGGGCUAGCGGAUGGAAGUGCUAGUCUAAGGUCGUAGGAGGUUAUACAGGCAAAUCCGUAUAACAAUACUCCGAGAACUGAAAGGCUUUUUGAAG
rnacentral:rRNA from 1 species